rnacentral:rRNA from 1 species
AAUUCGAAGCAACGCGCAGAACCUUACCAGCCCUUGACAUACGGUCGCGGACACAGAGAUGUGUCUUUCAGUUCGGCUGGACCGGAUACAGGUGCUGCAUGGCUGUCGUCAGCUCGUGUCGUGAGAUGUUGGGUUAAGUCCCGCAACGAGCGCAACCCUCGCCCUUUAGUUGCCAGCAUUUAGUUGGGCACUCUAAGGGGACUGCCGGUGAUAAGCCGAGAGGAAGGUGGGGAUGACGUCAAGUCCUCAUGGCCCUUACGGGCUGGGCUACACACGUGCUACAAUGGUGGUGACAGUGGGCAGCGAGCACGCGAGUGUGAGCUAAUCUCCAAAAGCCAUCUCAGUUCGGAUUGCACUCUGCAACUCGAGUGCAUGAAGUUGGAAUCGCUAGUAAUCGUGAAUCAGAAUGUCACGGUGAAUACGUUCCCGGGCCUU